UGGGGAAUAUUGCACAAUGGGGGGAACCCUGAUGCAGCGACGCCGCGUGAAGGAAGAAGUAUCUCGGUAUGUAAACUUCUAUCAGCAGGGAAGAGAAUGACGGUACCUGACUAAGAAGCCCCGGCUAACUACGUGCCAGCAGCCGCGGUAAUACGUAGGGGGCAAGCGUUAUCCGGAUUUACUGGGUGUAAAGGGAGCAUAGACGGCACAGCAAGUCUGAUGUGAAAGGCAUGGGCUCAACCCGUGGACUGCAUUGGAAACUGCUGGGCUUGAGUGCCGGAGGGGUAAGCGGAAUUCCUAGUGUAGCGGUGAAAUGCGUAGAUAUUAGGAGGAACACCAGUGGCGAAGGCGGCUUACUGGACGGUAACUGACGUUGAGGCUCGAAAGCGUGGGGAGCAAACAGGAUUAGAUACCCUGGUAGU
rnacentral:rRNA from 1 species